AAGAUCGGCCCGCGUCUGAUUAGCUUGUUGGUGAGGUAACGGCUCACCAAGGCGACGAUCAGUAGCNGGUCUGAGAGGAUGAUCAGCCACAUUGGGACUGAGACACGGCCCAAACUCCUACGGGAGGCAGCAGUGGGGAAUAUUGGACAAUGGGCGCAAGCCUGAUCCAGCCAUGCCGCGUGAGUGAUGAAGGCCCUAGGGUUGUAAAGCUCUUUUGUGCGGGAAGAUAAUGACGGUACCGCAAGAAUAAGCCCCGGCUAACUUCGUGCCAGCAGCCGCGGUAAUACGAAGGGGGCUAGCGUUGCUCGGAAUUACUGGGCGUAAAGGGUGCGUAGGCGGGUCUUUAAGUCAGAGGUGAAAUCCUGGAGCUCAACUCCAGAACUGCCUUUGAUACUGAGGAUCUUGAGUUCGGGAGAGGUGAGUGGAACUGCGAGUGUAGAGGUGAAAUUCGUAGAUAUUCGCAAGAACACCAGUGGCGAA
rnacentral:rRNA from 1 species